rnacentral:rRNA from 1 species
GAUGAACGCUGGCGGCGUGCCUAAUACAUGCAAGUCGAGCGAACAGACGAGGAGCUUGCUCCUCUGACGUUAGCGGCGGACGGGUGAGUAACACGUGGAUAACCUACCUAUAAGACUGGGAUAACUUCGGGAAACCGGAGCUAAUACCGGAUAAUAUAUUGAACCGCAUGGUUCAAUAGUGAAAGACGGUUUUGCUGUCACUUAUAGAUGGAUCCGCGCCGCAUUAGCUAGUUGGUAAGGUAACGGCUUACCAAGGCAACGAUGCGUAGCCGACCUGAGAGGGUGAUCGGCCACACUGGAACUGAGACACGGUCCAGACUCCUACGGGAGGCAGCAGUAGGGAAUCUUCCGCAGAGGGCGAAAGCCUGACGGAGCAACGCCGCGUGAGUGAUGAAGGUCUUCGGAUCGUAAAACUCUGUUAUUAGGGAAGAACAUAUGUGUAAGUAACUGUGCACAUCUUGACGGUACCUAAUCAGAAAGCCACGGCUAACUACGUG